GGGGCUGACUGGAAUCGACAGGAAAUGUGAUUGGUUAGUAAGCAUGCCGUAGGAUGAUAGUACGCUACGUAAAAAACGAUUAUCAAACCACAAAUGGCAAUACAACUUUUGCCGUUGCAGCUUAAUUCUAGGAAUUAAUUUGCUUCUGUGCAAUGGAGCUGAAGUCUGAUAGGCUCCUGUCGCGCAUCAAACCUUUUCAGACUGGUCGCUUGCAAGUCCCGGGCAAGAGACAAGAUUAAGGGAAUACGCUUUGGAAAGGUGGUUUCUUAACCUACUCCUUAGCCGACAACCGAAUAGGAAACUAAGCAUGUAGAAAGUUAAUGGGUUCUUUCUCUGGACCGGGGUUCGACUCCCCGCAGCUCCACAA
rnacentral:tmRNA from 1 species